CGGUUGAUCCUGCCGGACCCUACUGCUAUCGGGGUAGGACUAAAACAUGCAAGUCGAGCGUCUCCCAACAUGUUGUGGAGACGCGGCGAACGGCUCAGUAACACGUGGCUAACCUACCCUUAGGACGGGUACACCCCCGGGAAACUGGGGCUGGAUAUCCCGAUAGGUGAGAAAGCCUGGAAUGGUUUCUCACCCAAAGGACGUUGAAACCAUGCUUUUCAGCGUCGCCUAAGGAUGGAGCCGCGGCCGAUCAGGCUGUUGGUGAGGUAACGGCUCACCAAGCCUAUAACCGGUACGGGCCAUGAGAGUGGGAGCCCGGAGAUGGGCACUGAGACAAGGGCCCAGGCCCUACGGGGCGCAGCAGUUGCGAAACCUCCACAAUGCACGAAAGUGCGAUGGGGCUAACCCGAGUGCCGUCCGCUGAGGACGGCUUUUCUCCGCUGUAAGGAAGCGGAGGAAUAAGGAGAGGGCAAGACUGGUGUCAGCCGCCGCGGUAAUACCAGCUCUCCGAGUGGUAGGGACGAUUAUUGGGCCUAAAGCGUUCGUAGCCGGCUUGACAAGUCUCCCGUUAAAUCCAGUGACCUAAUCGCUGGGCUGCGGGAGAUACUGUCAGGCUUGGGAGCGGAAGAGGUCGACGGUAUUCUCGGGGUAGGGGUGAAAUCCUGUAAUCCCGAGAGGACCACCAGUGGCGAAGGCUGUCGACUUGUCCGCGUCCGACGGUGAGGAACGAAAGCUGGGGGAGCGAACCGGAUUAGAUACCCGGGUAGUCCCAGCUGUAAACUAUGCGGGCUAGGUGUCAGGGUGGCAACGAGCCACUCUGGUGCCGCAGGGAAGCCCAUAAGCCCGCCGCCUGGGAAGUACGGCCGCAAGGCUGAAACUUAAAGGAAUUGGCGGGGGAGCAC
rnacentral:rRNA from 1 species